rnacentral:rRNA from 1 species
UGUCGUCAGCUCGUGUCGUGAGAUGUUGGGUUAAGUCCCGCAACGAGCGCAACCCUUAUUACUAGUUGCCAGCAUUAAGUUGGGCACUCUAGUGAGACUGCCGGUGACAAACCGGAGGAAGGUGGGGACGACGUCAAAUCAUCAUGCCCCUUAUGACCUGGGCUACACACGUGCUACAAUGGAUGGUACAACGAGUYGCGAGACCGCGAGGUUAAGCUAGARUCUUAAAACCAUUCUCAGUUCGGACUGUAGGCUGCAACUCGCCUACACGAAGUCGGAAUCGCUAGUAAUCGCGG